AGCAGCCGCGGUAAUUCCAGCUCCAAUAGCGUAUAUUAAAGUUGUUGCAGUUAAAAAGCUCGUAGUUGAAUUUCAGGCCUGGCUGGACGGUCCGCCCUUCGGGUGAGUACUGUCUGUGGUCGGGUCCUACCUUCUGGCGAAGCGUCAUGGCCUUAACCGGCCGUGGCGGGGAACCAGGACUUUUACUGUGAAAAAAUUAGAGUGUUCAAAGCAGGCAAUCGCUUGGAUACAUUAGCAUGGAAUAAUGGAAUAGGACAAUGGUUCUAUUUGUUGGUUUCUAGGACCGUUGUAAUGAUUAAUAGGGAUAGUUGGGGGCAUUAGUAUUCAAUUGUCAGAGGUGAAAUUCUUGGAUUUAUUGAAGACUAACUACUGCGAAAGCAUUUACCAAGGAUGUUUUCAUUAAUCAAGAACGAAAGUUAGGGGAUCGAAGACGAUCAGAUACCGUCGUAGUCUUAACCAUAAACUAUGCCGACUAGGGAUCGGAUGAUGUUAAUUUUUAAUGACUCAUUCGGCGCCUUAC
rnacentral:rRNA from 1 species